GCGAGUACAGUGGCGCACGGGUGAGUAACGCGUAGAUGAUCUACCCUUCAGUCUGGGACAACUCUUGGAAACGGGAGCUAAUACCGGAUAAAACCUUCGGGUUGAAAGAUUUAUCGCUGGGGGAUGAGUCUGCGUACCAUUAGCUUGUUGGUGGGGUAACGGCCUACCAAGGCGACGAUGGUUAGCGGGUCUGAGAGGACGAUCCGCCACACUGGAACUGAGACACGGUCCAGACUCCUACGGGAGGCAGCAGUAGGGAAUAUUGCGCAAUGGGGGCAACCCUGACGCAUCAAUGCCGCGUGAGUGAAGAAGGCCUUCGGGUCGUAAAGCUCUUUUAUGGGGGAAGAUGAUGACGGUACCCCAUGAAUAAGCACCGGCUAACUACGUGCCAGCAGCCGCGGUAAUACGUAUGGUGCGAGCGUUGUUCGGAAUUACUGGGCGUAAAGGGCGUGCAGGCGGAUUGGCAAGCCGGAGGUGAAAGCCCGGGGCUCAACCCCGGAGGGUCUUUCGGAACUGCCAGUCUUGAGAGGGUCAGGGGCCAGCGGAAUUCCUGGUGUAGAGGUGAAAUUCAUAGAGAUCAGGAGGAACACCGGCGGCGAAAGCGGCUGGCUGGGACCACUCUGACGCUGAGGCGCGAAAGCGUGGGGAGC
rnacentral:rRNA from 1 species